UACAAUUUUAUACUAAAAAAAUUCUCUGCUUAUGCUGCGAACAUUCUCCAACUCUAAAGUACAAACAAAAUAAAGCAGCCCUUUAUACUAAAAGCUCCGCCAUUCGCGAGUUUGGAGAAGGAUCGAUUAUUCACAUUCCAGAUAGAAGAAAGCAUGGUUCAUCCCAGAGAUAUAUGACAUUCCACAUCGCGGGGGCUUAAGGGCAUCCGAAAAGCUCAUGUUAUGCAAUUUUGGGUGCAAAGCAACUUGGUACAAUGAAGUUCAAGCUUCUUGGUUUCAUUAAACUGAAAUGAAAAUGGAUCAUGAAUUAUGGAUUGAAAACAGAUGGCAAAAAAGCAUAUUUGAAAUGAUGGCUUAUGGUAGUUGAGACACUCGACCUUGUCUGUUCGAUGUUUUAUAUUUAGGGAUCUUUUGGGAGUUAGACGUCGAACCUUGGUUUUUCAGAUCUGCUUUUGGUAAACUGAACAGGCAAGCCCAACGCUGCACUAGUGCAAGAGUAAUCAUGACGUAUUAAUUUUUAGCUUAUAAAUCUGGAUUUACCUUAUUCAGCUUCAAGUGACUCAUGCCAUUGGUUGUCCAUUAACAUGAAUUAAAAGAAUCUUUACCUGCAAAUUUUGUUGUAUGAAGACAGUAGUUGACUUGAGAUCAGCUUACCAAAAUGGAAAGAAUGAAGAGCUCUUGAAGUCAAGCAUUAGGUAAGGUUUGGUACAGGCAUUGACAAAACAAAGUUUGGUCUGGACUGUGCAAAUGGUCUUUGUUUUAAUGAACUUAAAAUAUAUUGAUUCCCCUGUGGCAUUAAUUGUCAGCAUGUGACCAAGUGUGAAUUCUAUUUUAUGAAUCUUAGUUUACAUAAAAGGCUGAUGAACUUGCUGCACUUUUCAGAA